GUUUCCGUGUCUUUGCCAAAUUCCCUGGGGCGGACUCAUCGGGCCCCAGCAGCUCCAUCUCGUCAGCACCAGGUGCCAGGGAGCGAGCAGGGCAGCAGGGAGUCCUGCAGGCAGGGUCCGGGUGACCUCAGGGGUCCUGGAGGACAAAGGGGAGACGAGCAGCGGGAGUCCCCGAGACAGGGACUGCAGACCGAAGCUCCUCAGGGCAUCUUGGCCGAGAAGGCAUGACGUAGGCCGGCGGGACAGGAGGGACCCCGGUGAAGGCAUCUGAGCAGAGGAAAGAGGAAGCGUGGCUCUUUUUAAGCCUGCAGUCACCGGGAAGGGCCAGAUGCUCGUAUGUGGUAACAGGACUGUCAGAGGCGCCACAGCCGUCCAGCAGUUCCCGCCUGCCUCUGAGACAGACGACGUUCACGAGUGACACGCUCCGGUCCAGGAGCCGACGCUGAGCCUUGGAGUGACAGGUGAACUUGCCCCUCUGUGCGAGAGAAGGCCUCUCAAAACACAUGCGGGAGUAACUUUACAGAAUGGGCUUGAGUCACCUCUAAAAUUAUUAUUGAAAUAUUGUAAUAAACCAAAG
ensembl:lncRNA